UACAGAGGUCUCAAGCGUUGUUCGGAUUCAUUGGGCGUAAAGGGUGUGUAGGUGGCGCCGUAAGUCGGGUGUGAAAUUUCGGAGCUUAACUCCGAAACUGCAUUCGAUACUGCGGUGCUUGAGGACUGGAGAGGAGACUGGAAUUCAUGGUGUAGCAGUGAAAUGCGUAGAGAUCAUGAGGAAGACCAGUGGCGAAGGCGAGUCCCUGGACAACACCUGACACUGAGGCACGAAAGCUAGGGGAGCAAACAGG
rnacentral:rRNA from 1 species